CCAGUUGCUACCAGGUAAUGCUGGGCACUCUGGUGAGACUGCCCGGUUAACGGGGAGGGAAGGUGGGGACGACGGUCAAGUCAUCAUGGCCCUUACGCCUAGGGCUACACACGUACUACAAUGGCGCAUACAAAGGGCAGCGAUACCGCGAGGUGGAGCCAAUCCCAAAAAGUGCGUCCCAGUCCGGAUUGCAGUCUGCAACUCGACUGCAUGAAGUUGGGAUCGCUAGUAAUUCGAGAUCAGCAUGCUCGGGUGAAUGCGUUCCCGGGCCUU
rnacentral:rRNA from 1 species